rnacentral:rRNA from 1 species
GAUGAACGCUGGCGGCGUGCCUAAUACAUGCAAGUCGAGCGAACGGACGAGAAGCUUGCUUCUCUGAUGUUAGCGGCGGACGGGUGAGUAACACGUGGAUAACCUACCUAUAAGACUGGGAUAACUUCGGGAAACCGGAGCUAAUACCGGAUAAUAUUUUGAACCGCAUGGUUCAAAGGUAAAAGACGGUCUUGCUGUCACUUAUAGAUGGAUCCGCGCUGCAUUAGCUAGUUGGUAAGGUAACGGCUUACCAAGGCAACGAUGCAUAGCCGACCUGAGAGGGUGAUCGGCCACACUGGAACUGAGACACGGUCCAGACUACUACGGGAGGCAGCAGUAGGGAAUCUUCCGCAAUGGGCGAAAGCCUGACGGAGCAACGCCGCGUGAGUGAUGAAGGUCUUCGGAUCGUAAAACUCUGUUAUUAGGGAAGAACAUAUGUGUAAGUAACUGUGCACAUCUUGACGGUACCUAAUCAGAAAGCCACGGCUAACUACGUG